AAAGAAUUAGUUAAAUUCAUAACAUAAAUUUGUCAAAUUUAAAUUAUUUUUUCAAAUAUUCUUUU
rnacentral:tRNA from 1 species